AUGUCGCUCGUCCCGCUGCUUCAGCCGGCCAAGAAACCGGAACGCCCCCCUUGCCUGGCAACCUCGGCAUCUCCAUCGACCGUCUCAGAAAGCGCUACCUCGCUCGGCUCCCGCAUAGCUGAUGCUGAAUCCAUAAUGCUAAUCAAGAGGUGGUUUUGGCCUAACUGGGAUGUGCUUGAGUCCUGCAUAGCUGUGGAGGAGGAAGUUGCUGCCCUUCUUGAGCAGUUUGCAAAGGGCCACCUGUUAGCUGAAAAUAGGAAUCUGAAAGAGCAAUUGCUGGCUAGUAUCAUGGGUCAGUCUGUCAUGCUUGUCAUUUUAGCAAAGAUUCUUGGGCCAUUUCCAGUCUCAACAAGGCAAACCUCCUCUUGUGGAAGUUGGACUGAGAUCAGCAUUACAAUGUUGGCCGCCAAGGAACUCUAUGUGAAGAAACUGGAAGGUACUGAUAUAAACUCUUCUACUAACAACAACAUUGCUUGA
rnacentral:rRNA from 1 species